AGAGUUUGAUUAUGGCUCAGGAUGAACGCUAGCGGCAGGCUUAAUACAUGCAAGUCGAGGGGCAGCAUGACUGUAGCAAUACAGUUGAUGGCGACCGGCAAACGGGUGCGGAACACGUACAGAACCUUCCUUCGAGCGGGGAAUAGCCCAGAGAAAUUUGGAUUAAUACCCCAUAGCAUAUUGAAGUGGCAUCACUUUGAUAUUAAAGAUUUAUCACUUGAAGAUGGCUGUGCGGCUGAUUAGGUAGUUGGCGGGGUAACGGCCCACCAAGCCUGCGAUCAGUAACUGGUGUGAGAGCACGACCAGUCACACGGGCACUGAGACACGGGCCCGACUCCUACGGGAGGCAGCAGUAAGGAAUAUUGCGCAAUGGCCGAAAGGCUGACGCAGCGACGCCGCGUGAGGGAUGAAGUCCGUUAGGAUGUAAACCUCUUUUGCAGGGGAUGAAAAACCGCUUUCGGGCGGGAUUGACCGUACCCUGCGAAUAAGGAUCGGCCAACUACGUGCCAGCCGCCGCGGUAA
rnacentral:rRNA from 1 species